AAAAGCAAGCGGCGGCUUCAUGCUCAGGCCCAGCAAGGGGGAGCUGGUGCUGAGAUGAGCUGGGGCAGGGGGGCCUCCCGCGUCGCAGCAGGUAACUCAGAGGGGGUGGGGGUGCACAGGGGAACCGCUCCCCAUCCCAGCUCACCACCGCUCUGCCUGCGCCUCCCUGGGACUGAGCUUUAAGCCACCGCUUUCUUCUCAGCCCUCCCAGGCUUCCCACGCGAACAGGUGAUUCGUGGGAAGUGUGGGGGCUGUGAGCUUGGCCUGACCUGGUGCUACAGGCUCUGUGCAGCGCCAGUGUGGACCAGCUCCAGCCAAGCAGCGCUGCUGUAGUACCACCAGCUAUCUCCAGGCAGCACAGCCAUUGGUGCAUAUUUGAGCCGUGUGGUCGAGAAAGCAGAUGGAAAGAGUGAAAUUCUUCAAAAUGCUAUAUUAUUGCUUCCUAACCAUACACCAGGUCAUUGGGUUCUUGCGAUACUUCAUCAAAUGAUUAACUAGCAAAUCCUCAUCUGAUUGGAAGAGUAAAAUUGUUCAGCAUACCAGACAAAGUGAUGGCCACAACUGUAGACCACUCAUCUUAAAGAAAGCGUGGAGGACUAUUGCAUAUACUACAACCUUGUCAUUUGUGAAAAGGAAAGUGAGGAUUGCACAAUGUUGUUACUUAUCAAAGGUCCAGUGUGAUUCUUGCAAGAGGUGGGCACAUAUGCCCUGCAUUACAGAAGGAACCAAUCAAGAAAACCUGACUGACGAGAAGACAGAAUACAAGUGCAAAAAGUGUGCAAAGUUCACUUCUUUACCAAAAAAUAACAUUGUUUAAAUGCUUGAUGUUCAAAACAUCAUGGAACCAAAAGAAAACUCUCUUUAUUUAUAUACCAGAUUAUAAUAAAGGUUUUUUAAUUUGAAAAAAUUAUUCUCUGUAUUUGUGUCCCAACUAGCUGCAAAAGAAGAGGGUUGCUGUUUGUGCCGCUACACUGGGCCACCCCACCAGACAACUGAGGUGAGCAGCUCCCACCGUAAAGCAACGCCAUCUCCGACCACGCCGUUGUAAAAGGCCGUGGCCUCUCGCCAUGCUACCGCAAAGCAACGCCGGGCUGAAGGCACAUGUGUAGCAGCUACUGCCACUCCAGCUCCUGACACAGGCAAACCAGCUGUUCUAGUUAUGGCUGAUUGCUCUGCUGGAGAAGCAUGGUGCGGCCCACCUAGAACAUCCCCGCUAGACCACAGAGCCCAGCAAGGCAGCAACAUCCCAUCUAGAACCCGCAGUGCAGGCCUUCUAGCACACACGCAACUGGGCGCCACAGCAUCUAAACGAGAACCCCCCAUGCAGGCCUUCUAGAACAUCCCCGCUAGCGUGCCGGCAGCUGAGGGCCACAGCAUCUCAUCGAGAACUCAUGGUACAAGCCUUCCAGAACAUCCCCGCUAGCACACAAGCUGGUGGGGCGGAAAACAUCUAAACUAGAACCUACAGUGCAGGCUUUCUAGAACAUCAUAGCUAGAACACAAAGCAGCUGGGCUACAGCACCUAAUCUAGAACUGGUAGGGUGGAUUUUCUAGAACAAAGACCCAGCUGGGUUAGAAAAUGUAAUAUAGAAUCCCUAGCAGCACCCUUCUAGAAUUGGGGGUCACAACCCUCAGGGGUUGCAAGGUUAUUACAGGGGGGUUGUGAGCUUUCUGCCCCUAUGCAAGGUGGAGCUGACAGCCUGAGCCCUUCCAGACUAGCUCCACCUCCAACCCCGCUCCACCUCCAAUGAAAGGUUGCCAAAGUAGAAGUUUGCCCAGGCACUGUUUUCCCCAAGGCCCACUCUGGGACUGAAACAACAUUAGAGGGCUUGAUUAUUCACUAGCUGAAGAGCUGCAUUAAAUUGCAGACUAAUCAGAAUACUGAGAUCGGCCAAAAAAACCUUAAUUUAUAAUUUAACAGUCAGGCAGGGACAGGGCAGAGGGCUAUAGUCACCCCAAAGUUUACCUUAGCCACCCCUCUCAGCGCAAAGGCAGGGCCAGCUCUGACUUUUUUGCCGCCCCAAGCAAUAAAAAAUAAAAAUAUCAAGGUGGCCAGAAGGGAAAGCAAAAAAAAAAACAAAACAAAAAACAACAAACUGCAGGGCAGCUGGAGCCAGGGUGCAGGGGUACUCCCUGCGCUGCAGAUGUCAGACGUGCCCUGGAGAGCGAGGGGGAGGGAGCUGGGGGGAGAGAGAGGGUGGGCAGCCAGGGCUUCAGGGGGGCCCUCACUACGCGGCCCCGACCGCUGCGCCGCCUGCCGGGAGGGCUCCGCACCGCUCCAGUCGGCGGGCAGGGAA